rnacentral:rRNA from 1 species
CCUACGGGUGGCUGCAGUGGGGAAUAUUGGGCAAUGGGCGCAAGCCUGACCCAGCAACGCCGCGUGAAGGAAGAAGGCUUUCGGGUUGUAAACUUCUUUUAAGGGGGAAGAGCAGAAGACGGUACCCCUUGAAUAAGCCACGGCUAACUACGUGCCAGCAGCCGCGGUAAUACGUAGGUGGCAAGCGUUGUCCGGAUUUACUGGGUGUAAAGGGCGUGCAGGCGGAAAGACAAGUCAGAUGUGAAAUCCACGGGCUCAACCCGUGCACUGCAUUUGAAACUGUUUCCCUUGAGUUUCGGAGAGGUAGUCGGAAUGCAUGGUGUAGCGGUGAAAUGCGUAGAUAUAAGGAAGAACACCAGUGGCGAAGGCGGAUUACCGAACGAUAACUGACGGUGAGGCGCGAAAGCGUGGGGAGCAAACAGGAUUAGAUACCCCAGUAGUC